AGAAUGACUCAGAAGAGAUAAGACUAGAGGCAGGGAUACUAGCUAAGAAGCUGUUGCAGCAAUGAAAGAAGAAAUGAUGAGAACCUAAACUAAGGCAAUACUAAUGGGAGCAAAGAGAAGUGAAGAGAUUUCACAGGUUUAUAAGAAAAAAGUGGUAGGACUUGAAAAUUAAUUGGAUGUAAAGACCAAAGCAAGCGGCAGUCAAGGAUGGCUCCUGGAUUUCUGGCUUGAGAGACUAGGUGGAUGAAAGAGCAGGUAGAGUGAGAAAGAUGAUGCUUUCAGUUUGGGAUAUGCCAAGUUUUGGGUCCCUUAUAGGUCUUUCAGGGAGAAAUGUCUAGCAGGGAUUUGGAUAGAAAUGUCGGGCACUCAGGAGAAAUAGAGAUGAGAACACCAAAGACAGAAUAUAUGGUUCUUCUAGAAGAUCCACUUUCAAUUUUACUAAAGUGAAUGACCCACUUUGAUGAAAAGAAUAAUGACUUCUAAGGUCUCUUACAACUCUAAUGUUACAAUUCUAUUGUUCAUCUGGAAUUGCCUUUUGAAGACAGCACAACUGUGGCCUUAAAGAUUCCUUGGUGAACAUGUGAAAUAUUUUUUAAUGAAAGUCCAUUACAUAUAAAGCCAUACAACCCCAAACAUGCAGUGAUAAUGCUUAUAGCAAAGAAAAACCAAGUAAAGACACUAUCUACAUUUACCUACUCUGAUCCCAAUUGGCUGCAAACAGCAAAAGAAUCUUCCUGCCGUAGUGGUCUCGGUUUUCCAGCACCCCGGGGAACCCAUCGAUCAGAGCCCUCUUAAUGCCGGGAUCAUCUGCCUUGAAGUUUUUGAACAUGUCCAGGUUUAGCUGGCGGUACUGGAAAUACUGAGCCAGGAGUCUAAAGGCAUCCGCUUGGUGAAACUUCCUGGCUCGGAGAAAUCUCAGGAUGAAGGCAUCAUCUAUCCAUGUAACCGUGACCCUUCUUCUGGAUGUGAUUGCACAGACAAUGGCAGCAGUAGGAAUCACAGCUAAGAAAACUGCCUGGCAAAAGUAAAACACAGCAGCAUGCUUAAGGGUGAGGGUGGUCCAUGCAUCAGCAGUGGCAGCAGAACCCAGGAGCUUGUUAGUGACACAGCAAGUCAGGACUUACUUAGACCUACUGAACAGAAACCCCAAUUCCCACCAACUUCAGAUCUCCAUUCCUACAAACUUCACCUCUGCUGGUAUGUGGACAUCAGAGAAGGGGGAACUGGAAACUGAAUUCUGACCACCAUUCUGUGUUCUAAAUGUCUUCCUGAGGGGCCUGGAGGAAGUUACACUCAUAAGCCAGAGCUAACAUUCUUUUCUGCUGACCCCAAAUUUUAAAAUAAAGCUUCUCUUCCUUAACCAAUUGCAAUUCAGAAAA